GCUGGUUUGGCUCAAUGGACAGAGCAUCAGCCUGCAGACUGAAGGGUCCCAGGUUCGAUUCCUGCCAAAAGCA
rnacentral:tRNA from 1 species